CAGUUCGGACUGUGGUCUGCAACCCGACCACACGAAGCUGGAAUCGCUAGUAAUCGCGAAUCAGAAUGUCGCGGGGAAUACGUUCCCGGGUCUUGUACACACCGCCCGUCACACCAUGGGAGUCGAUAACGCCCGAAGUCAGUGACCCAACCUGUAAGGAGGGAGCUGCCGAAGGCGGGAUUGAUAACUGGGGUGAAGUCGUAACAAGGUAAC
rnacentral:rRNA from 1 species